rnacentral:lncRNA from 1 species
UCUGAUUAUUUGACUGGUCAACUUCUCAAGGACAAACCUCAAAUCUUAAUGAAUGAAUUAUUUAGGAUACUCACAUAGGCUCAUAUAUGCAUAAAAUUAUGAAUGAAAUAACUUCCAUUGAUUGGAUUUGAUCAUGGGUUGAGGUUGCUUCAUGAGCAAGGCACAGCCAAUGCACAGAUGAAUUAGGGUUUCCUUGGGAAACAAUCCUCAAGCCCCUUGGUUUAUCUUGAUCAAAUUGACAAAUUGAGAUACUUGGGAGACAUAUAUGAUGAUUUAGAGCUUU